CUGAAGCAGGGGUUCAUCGCUCUGGCAUGGGGGGACAUGAUCCAGCCAUGCGCGUGUGUGAAGAAGGCCUUAUGGGGAAAGCACUUUAAGCGAGGAGGAGGCUACUGAGACUAAUACUCUUGGAUAGUGGACGUUACUCGCAGAAUAAGCACCGGCUAACUCUGUGCCAGCAGCCGCGGUAAAAUUUUUAA
rnacentral:rRNA from 1 species